UAGUCCACGCCCUAAACGAUGUCAACUAGACGUUGGGCUCAUAAAGGAGCUUAGUGUCGAAGCUAACGCGUUAAGUUGACCGCCUGGGGAGUACGGCCGCAAGGUUGAAACUCAAAGGAAUUGACGGGGCCCGCACAAGCGGUGGAGCAUGUGGUUUAAUUCGAUGCAACGCGAAGAACCUUACCAGCCCUUGACAUCCUGGGAACUUUGUAGAGAUACAUUGGUGCCUUCGGGAAUCCAGUGACAGGUGCUGCAUGGCUGUCGUCAGCUCGUGCCGUGAGAUGUUGGGUUAAGUCCCGCAACGAGCGCAACCCUCGUCCUUAGUUGCCAGCACGUUAUGGUGGGAACUCUAAGGAGACUGCCGGUGAUAAACCGGAGGAAGGUGGGAUGACGUCAAGUCAGUCAUGGCCCUUAUGGGCUGGGCUACGACACGUGCUACAAUGGACGGUACAGAGGGCCGCAAACCCGCAGGGGGAGCCGAAUCCCACAAAGCCGUUCUUAGUCCGGAUCGCAGUCUG
rnacentral:rRNA from 1 species